UGGAUUUUUCAUGCCCAGCCUACCAUUAA
rnacentral:piRNA from 1 species